UACGGGGGGGGCAAGCGUUGUUCGGAAUUACUGGGCGUAAAGGGCGCGUAGGCGGUGCUCUAAGGCGGAUGUGAAAACUCUGGGCUCAACCCAGAGCCUGCAUCCGAAACUGGAGUGCUAGAGUUCUGGAGGGGGUAGCGGAAUUCCUGGUGUAGCGGUGAAAUGCGUAGAUAUCAGGAGGAACACCGGUGGCGAAGGCGGAUACCUGGACAGAAACUGACGCUGAGGCGCGAAAGCUAGGGGAGCAAACAGG
rnacentral:rRNA from 1 species